rnacentral:snRNA from 1 species
UGGCUAUAUGCAAGGGAAGA